GUCUAAACAGCCCUUCAGGGUGACAUUCUUAAGUGAGCUCCUAUACCAGUCAAGAUCCAACCAGGAAAACAGACACCACCUUGAGCAUUUAAAACAGAGAACCUAACACAGGGAAGUUGUUUCACACAGAGUGAAAGAUCUAAGAAGCAGACCAGGGAAUAAUAAGGCAACUAGAAAGCAGUGACAUCAGAAAGCCACUGUCAUUCAAGGGCUGGAGUAACCAAGGUGCCAUGAUUGUUAAUAGAAUCUACGAGAAGGUGGAGCCAUGAAGAGAUGCGGCCACUGCAGAACCUGCACCCAGGACCCGUCAGCCUUCACCCUGUCCAGCCUAACCCAGCUGGGAGCCAGCUGGUGCAGGAGCUUGGAAAUGGAUCAACUCCUGUGACUUACAGCCGAGGAGCCUAAGACGGGAGUGGACUUGAAUUCAUUCACAGCUUCUCCAUCUUUACCCCAUGGCUUCCAAUGUCAUCAUAAACAUCUGUAUCAUGUGAGCAGAAAGAGAAAGAAGGUGAAGAGUGGUGCAUAGGAGGAGUGAGGGACCACAGCUGGAAGUGGCAACUGUGGCCCCUCUAAACUGCUAGAGAGAUUCACAAAUGCAGUCUGAGUGUCUACAAAAAAAAAACAGAAAGUGCCUAUGAAAAACAGACAGCUCCGUCACACAAGAAGGAUCCAACCAAAGAGACCAAGAAGUUUGGCUAAUGAGAUGUUAGAAAUGUCAACAGAAUGGGAUGUCUAUCAAGUCACGCAAAGAGAAAAUUUCAAGAAGGAAAUGGCUACUUGUGCUCAAUGAAGCUGAAAGAUCAAGUCAGAUGAGACCUGACCAUUAGGUUACCAUUAGUUAUUGAUUUUGGUGACUUUGACAAGGGCAGAGUGGUAGAGCAAUAAGACCAAUGACUUGUUGGAAUGAGUUCAAGAUGGAAACAAAGAAAAAAUUAAACUGGGCAUGGAUAACUCUUUCUGGAACCUGAUAAACAUAGAUCAACACAAAGACUUGUCUGCUGACUUCCCUAUUAUUGUUGUGGUAGGAAACAGAAUUCACUCCAGGUGAAUCAAAUGAAGAAAUUUACGGAAGCAUUCCUUAUAGAGAUAUGGGCUGGCUGGGUUGAGAGAUUGAACAACAGAUGUUGAGAUGCCCAGACACCAGCUACAGUAGAAAGUUGCUACCACCUCUAGACCGAAAGGACAAAGAGAAAGAAAUGUAGUUAUUGAACACAAUGAGGGGUGAAUCAGCAGAAAAGGGUCCUCAGUGGGAGUUGUGGUACCAGAAAGAAAUAGCUGUUGCCUGAGAUAGAGCAUGGAAAAAAGAGAAGAGCCCCAAACCUUUAUUCACACCCUCUGACUUCUAAAGAGCAGCUAAAUACAAUCAGAAAUUCAGGAGCUGGGAAGCUCAAGAGAUGUGCUCCAAAGGGGUCAUCUUCCUAUGCCACAAAGGAAGGCAGAAAAAUGUGGGAAGGGAAAGAACAGAAAAUAACUAGCUUAGAGGGGUUGCUUGACUUGAAUUUCAGAAGUGGAAGGAAGUUUGUUACCUCUUAUAAAGGAUGUAUCUUUUGUUUAAUUGAAUGUUCACAGGACAAUCACCAUAUCUUCCCUGUUGACAAUCACAUUGUAUAAAGAAAUACAGUUAUUCUAAAUAACAUUGAAUAUA